UUCCACUUGUCAUCUUUAGUUCAAGUGCCCUGGAAUCGAAGUCUACAUCUUCAAACAAUCUUCCUUACCACCACCACUUGCGGGGCAUCCACAGGUCUGCAAAUCCCCCUGCUGCUUUCAUGUGCCAUGGCACAUGCCACGACGUUGUGUGACUUUUGCCAAUCUGAGAUCCGAGCUGUGCUGCCUUUUCCUGUCUGAACUCUGAGUCAGGCAAUACUAAAACCAGUCCCUAGGACAGCUUGCAGAUAUAUUAGAAAGUUGCAGGUUUUGCUUCACAUUUGGGAAACUCUUUUGUUAAAGGUAUAUAUAACACAUCCGAUGAAGGGCUGAUAACUAGAAUCUAUUUAGAACUCAGGAAAACC